AUUGAACGCUGGCGGCAGGCCUAACACAUGCAAGUCGGACGGUAGCACAGAGAGCUUGCUCUCGGGUGACGAGUGGCGGACGGGUGAGUAAUGUCUGGGAAACUGCCCGAUGGAGGGGGAUAACUACUGGAAACGGUAGCUAAUACCGCAUAACGUCUUCGGACCAAAGUGGGGGACCUUCGGGCCUCACACCAUCGGAUGUGCCCAGAUGGGAUUAGCUAGUAGGUGGGGUAAUGGCUCACCUAGGCGACGAUCCCUAGCUGGUCUGAGAGGAUGACCAGCCACACUGGAACUGAGACACGGUCCAGACUCCUACGGGAGGCAGCAGUGGGGAAUAUUGCACAAUGGGCGCAAGCCUGAUGCAGCCAUGCCGCGUGUAUGAAGAAGGCCUUCGGGUUGUAAAGUACCUUCAGCGGGGAGGAAGGCGAUGAGGUUAAUAACCGCAUCGAUUGACGUUACCCGCAGAAGAAGCACCGGCUAACUCCGUGCCAGCCGCCGCCGUAA
rnacentral:rRNA from 1 species